GCCCGGGGCCUGUGCAACGCCAGCCUCCGAACCGCGUCAGGACCGGAAGGUAGCAGCGCUAAGGAGUGUCUGCCGUGUGCCGCAGAUCCUCCGGGUCGC
rnacentral:SRP_RNA from 1 species